UUUUUCACCUUGGGUCUUGCCCAUAGGAAAGAUACGUAGCUCGGUCAGGGCAUAUCCUAAAGCCAUUGCCUCCAGCCAGUAGUAGUGGUAGGUAAGCAUCUUAAGUUAGGGGUGAAAUUGCUUUUCUGACAAGGAAAGGGAUUGUAGGCAAGCCCGUAGAAUUUCCUCUUACCUCUUCUCUUCUUUUAUUACAGCAGUGGUAGUCUCAAUAGUUCCAUUUCCAGUGCUUUAUAAGCCCAUGCAGUUAUUAAAAGUGUUAAGUAUAGCAUCUUUCUUAGGAUGUACUUUUUGAUCUUCCCUUGCAGUCUAUGCUUAUUGGUUAGCUAGUGUCAUUGGCCUUCGGCUUCUUACCCUUCUGGUUAGGUUAAAAAACUAUAUGUCUUGUUUUUUCAAUUCUCCUGUAAAGUCAAUAAAGCGAGAAAGAAGAUCUCUCAAGGACUACGCAAGCUCGUCUAUAUUGCAUCAAGAGCUUCGACUUUGAUUGCAUUGCCAGCAGCGGAUGCUUUCACAGCAAAUGAAAUACCAAUUGCCGUUCUUUUAAGAAGUUCCUUGCCUUACUAAUGUAAUAGUUACAGAAAGCUCUUCCUUCCCCAUCCGCCCUUUUCGGUUUAAUUGAAUAAGACCGGCCCGAGCCAUACUUCUAAUUAUCGAGGAUACACAGAUGGCUGCUGCUUUUAUUUUCACCUGCGGUUCUUCUUCUUAUUUAAGGGAUCAAAAGUAUCUUCCUCAAAAAGGUCCUUAACCCCUUGACCUAGAAUAGAACCAAAUUUAGCUAUCACCUAUGAAUCCAUCUCAUAUAUUCCAUAUUAUGCCUUUCUCAAAGUAAAAAAGCAAAAGUUUCUAGCCUCCAUCAAGGGAAAACCUUUCAUAUCUGCGCACAAAAGGCUUCCGGUUGUUUGAUCAAGAGAGCAAUUCAAGCUGCCAAGUAACCAAUUCAUCCCCUUAUUCCCAAGUUCUUAUUAGAUUGUUUGCCAACUUCAAUUGAAGUCCAGGAAAAUUCCCUUAUCUAAGGGAUAGGUCUGUUUGUUUUAAUUAACGAAUCGAGCCCCUUGAGUCCCUAGCAGCCUUAAGCCCAUAAGCUACUUCCUUUAUUUUCUGAUUGGAAUUCAAGUUGGACUAGAUCGUUGUUAUUGUCCGCAAGGGAUGGGAAAUAGGACCUUUAAAUCAACAAUGCAAGUAAGGGCUGAUUAACCUACUUAGCUUUCCAAAAUCGUAAGGGUUGGGGAAACGAUUUCUUUCGGGAAGAUAGUUAUUGGAAUUAUGAUGAUAGGAAUUUCUUAGAUUCUUUUCUGAUAGAAAAAACACUUUCAUGAAGGAAGAUACCUAUAAAAGUGCUCAGUUCAAUCAGAAACCUAUUCUUCAACUACCGUGCUCUGUUCAGUUCAAGAUUUGUUUUCUCUCGGGUUCGGUUCAGUUCCUGACCCCUAUUGUUUGUUCAAUCACUCCAAUCAACCUUCCCUUUUUUGCUUCCGCUGAGGAGAAAUUGAGAAGAGAAGGGUUGUGGCAUUCUUCCCCUAAAAGGUGCACAUCCAUCGAUUCCCUCAUCUAGUGUAGUGCUCUGUUCAGAGACCAAGGAAGCUAUUAGUUUGAGUUCCUGAUUUCCCUGUUGCCGACUAGAUUGCUUACCGACUUUCAUGAUGGAAGAAGAUACCGACUUGAGGGAAGGCAGUACAGAGCAGCAGCCUAGGGAUAAGCAGGAAUUCAGGUUAGCUUUUCUGUUUUCCGAAUCUUACCCACCUGAGAGUCCAAGAAAGAAGGCAAAACAGCUAUAUAGAGCCCCUCCCUCGAGUCGAGCAAUGAACAAGUAAGUAGAGAAAAGGAAGAGGGGAAAUGCAGUAUCGUUAUGUUAUAGCAAGAUCAUCAGAUCAUGGGUGAAGCAAUCGAUCAUCAAAAAGUUCUUUAUCAGCCGGCGGAAAGCGUGGUAAUUCAUUCAUUUCAUCGGAAAAGGAUCGAACAGGAGUCAUCGCAUCGUUUCUAGAUCUUCGAUACCUCUAUAUUCUGAAGAAUAGGUCCUAAAAUGGUCAAUCGAUUGUUUUCUCAACGGGAAUCGAGGAAAUGGCAAGGGUUUGAGUAUAGCGAGCAGAGGAAUAGUUUCCUUUAUCAAAAGAAGCCUCUCGACUUGGAAACAGAAGAUGUUGUAACUUAACUGCACCCUUCCUCUUUCUACUGACCUCCUUGUCUGAUCCUGAAUUCCCUUUCAAACUACUUUCUUGCCUUCCUUGACCAAUGUUAUGGAUGGUGCACUGGUUGAGAAAAUAAUUGGCCCUUCCUUCUUAUAGCAACAAAAUCCAAUCUCCCCCUCAUACGAACCUACCUCCAUGACUUUCAUGUCAAACUGAAACUCCUUCCCUUGCAUUACCCAUAGCAUGCCAUCACAUUUGUGCUCACAAUACAUCUUAGCGCCAUUUGCUACUGUGAUUUCCAUAGGUUUAUACGGAGUUGAGUCGUAACCAGCCCGCUUCACAAUCUUUGGGGUCUACAAAACAGUGCGUGCUGCCACUAUCAACCAAGGCAAUCACUGGCACUCCGUUUACCUGGUAUCUCUGUCCAUAGUCGUCUCCUAUUUUGGAAGACUGAGACUUGCGACACAGCAGCAAUAUUAUUCAAAUAACAUGUCAUUCAAACGCAGCGCGCCUUGUUAAUUGCUCGUCAUGUAAGUGAAUUUACGAAUAGGGAGCCCAGGUGCCCAACAAGUGAACUAUUUCCUCCUCCAGGAUUGUUGCUUUCCUUCUAUAGCCUCACGUAUGAAAAACGUGUGCCUUAUAGAGGGCUAGGCCACAAAUACAUAGCAUAGAUAACAAGGGUUUCGCCAAAGUAGACGCUCAAGCGAAACAUUCCACUUAUCGAAGAAGGGAUGCAGGUAUUUCAAGUUCAAGAAGUAGGCAUUGAUCCCAAAGAAUGUAGUGAAAAUCUAGGCUAGGAGAAAUGCGUCAGAGCCGAGGUCAGGCAAAAGGUUGCUGGAUCUUUAUGUUGGCCGGAAGUUAUUUCUUUUCAAUGAGGUUCAAUGUUCUCUAGAUUGCUUAGAAGUAGCCUGCCUUACUCGAGCCAACUAGGAUCAGAAGGUGUUGAUAGGGCUAGACUUUCUCUCAUGGGCGUGACCAUAUUAAAUAAAGGGUCUUUUCAUCGCUUUGGCCUGGCACUCGAGUCAACAGUUAGAAAUAGUUCCUUCGACCCUGAAACCCGCGGAAGAAACCUUAGGUAAUGAUUGGCUUCUAACGAUGAAUAAAAUAGGUAUGUUUCUUAACACCGCGGUCUGACUUCCUAUGAGUCAAGGUACGUAAUUCCAGUUCGAGACUGUUAUUGAAGUCGUAAACAUCCGGAGGAAUAGAAUCUUCAAAUCAUUAGGGAAGGAAUGGAAUAUAGUGGUAGUCCCUUUGGCGCCAAGAAACAGAGGAAUAGGUUUCGUUGAGAUCUGCAUUCCUGAAUUGAGUAAAGUACGUGUAUGACCCAGAGAAGUGAAGGUGUUUGCCAGAUCAGAUUUGACUUGGUGCUGUCUCAUCCGAAAAGUAUGCUUGUUUCAAUCUAAUCUCAAAACACGAUUGUGUUGGUCUUCAGCUGCCAAUGAAUAUGGGUAUUCCUGGCUCAAGGAGCAGAAAGUCUCUAGUUUUCUCGCACGAGUAGAUCAUCUUGUUUCCCUAGCCAGGAAAGUCUGAUUCAACAGAAUAUCCAGGGCUAUGGUCUCUAAUGGAUGGUACCUCGCUCAAUUGAAGCUUAUGGGAAAGCAGGAGUCAUUGUCAUAUCAACAGUCAAACGCGAACCGCGCUUUAGUUGUCUACCUCUUUAGUUGCCUAACUCACUUAAGUAUGCCUACCUGAUCUCGGCUUCAUUAUCACAUAAAUGCCUGCUGAAACAAAGGAUUUUGGAGUGGCAGAGCUCAAGUAUCAUAUUAUCAUGGUGGUUACCAUUGCGCUAGAAAGCCAGAUGAGAAAGAGACACGAAGAGGUGGCAGGCGGAGGACGUUGAGAGCUAUCUUUUAGGAAUAGGAGGUCGCUUUGCGCUCUUGCUGCUUAUGCUAAUUUCAAAUUCCCAGAGACAGGGUUACUAUUUGAACCCACACGUAGAUCAGUUUAUGAUUCCAAUGUUCUAUCGACUGACUAAGUUGGUCCUUAAUUUCCAAUGAAGUUUUUAUUUUCUCGAGGGACGUAGCAAACUGUUUGGUUGGCUCCGAGCAUUAUAAAAAUAGAGUCCUGCCUGGACAAUGUUGAUAACGGGAAAUCUCUAACCUCCGUGGUGGGUGUGAAGAAGGGUACAGCUAGAAAGCGAGAGAAUAUCUUUAUGGAUAUGAGUCUGAGGCAGAAGUCUCUGAAUGCGGUCCUGACGAACCUUUUGUACCAGGAUCAUCACGAGACUCUGUUUCUGUGGUAGAUGACUCAAUAGGCAGGGCCUAGAACCUCUAAAGAGGGUGUGACCGAUCACCAGAUCACGAUCAAGAAGAGUCAAAGCUGUCUUACUAGCGCGAGCAAUCAUCCAACUAUGGUGGUUUCUCAACCGGUGGGUACAUUUCUGUUGCACAUUGUGAGUUCAUAUUUUCUUUUCUAAGAAACAAAAGUUCGAGCAGAUGCCGUUCUAGCAGGUACAAGAACUCCCGUUCGGUAGGCGUCUGCUUUAGCAAUGUCUUUGAUUUCCAAUCCUCGAUCAACAAUUUGAGGAAGACGAGACAGAAGCCUUUGGAUGAAACCAAUGAAUCUUCCGAUCCGAAAGACUAAGGGGCUAGGCGCUCACCUACUAUCUACACAUUUCCUCUUUGGCGUUGGCUCCACCAGUUUUGACUGCGAGUCGCUUUAGUUAUCUCAAAUCUUUGGCAGGAAGGGGCCAAGCCAAAUAGUGCUCUUUAGAAGCGUAAUCCGUGCUUGAAACUCCUUCGCUAGGAUCCAAAAACCUAUGCUUCCGCUCUGCCUCACCAGGCAAUGCUUACUCUUCUCGAUCAAGAGGGCUCUUUUGGAGACUUUGAAGCUCAAGGACACGACAGUGCUUGAAACAAAUGCUUUGUUUUGGCACCUUCGUCUUCCUUUCUAACAUUAGUAAAUUCGAGCUAAUGGGACCAGUUUUGAAUUGCCUAGAGGGUGGAGAAGUCACAUCAUCUGAGGUUUGUUGUGGGUUCAAUUAUGACCCCGGUCUAGAAGACGGAGUGGUUGCACGUGUAAGUACAUCAUGUUACAUAUCUAUUUUAAGCUAAGCUAAAUGCCUAAACUAAACAAUUUUAUAUUAAGCGCGGCAUCCUCUCUUCGGGGUUUACGCGUCCUAGUCCGAACCAUUGGAUCGAUCAGAAGAAGAAAGGCAAAGGAAUUGAAAGGUAGAGUAAGAAGCAUCGCCCAGAUCAAUGGAAAAUGGAAGUUUCUAGAAUUGCUGCUCUGUUCUGUUCAAGAAGUCUUUCUCCAGGGUUCGGUUCAGAAGGCGGGAUGGAAGAGAGAGAAUGGGCUCAUCGUGCGACAAGGUCGAUCGAUCACUCAAACUGUUCGGUAUCUCUACAAUUGAGUGAGCUGUGUUGCGAAGGAAAAUGAUGAAAUUGCUUACUUUUCACAGGCGUGAAUUCUAUCUUCGAUUAGAUAGUUUCCAUGCUUUUGAUAAAAAGAUGGGUUGGUAGGCAGGAUGAGAAGUUCAGUUAAAGAUUUCUCUCUGCUCAGUGAAGGGAAUAGCUUCCUUUUUCUUGGACUUGGGGUCAAGUAGUGGGAAACUAGAAUCCUUCGAUUCCCUCGUGUAGUGUUCUGUUCCAUAUUUGUGUAUCCAGCUUAUCCCGGUAUCUGCUCUGCUCCGUGAAGGAAAGGAAAAAGCUUUCUAUCUGCUUUCUCUGUAUCCACCUUUACUCGGUAUUCUGUUCCUGAUUUGCAUUUCACCACCUUAUCUAUUUCCUCCAUACUAAAAGGUUGAAUGAGGGCCUCAGCUUCUUCAUUAGAUAAGCACCCAGUGAUAUCCCAGAUAUCAUGCCGUAAGUGAACAUUGCUNNNNNNNNNNAUCUCCUUUCUUUGUAUCCACCUUUACUCGGUAUUCUGUUCCUGAUUGUCGUUUCACCACCUUACCUAUUCCUCCAUACUAAAAGGUUGAAUGAGGGCCUCAGCUUCUUCAUUAGGUAAGCACCCAGUGAUAUCCCAGAUAUCAUGCCGUAAGUGAACAUUGCUUCACUCUACUCUCCCAAAUCCACUUUCUAGUAUGAAGUGAUAUGCUCUCUUAGCUCUUUUGGAGAAUGUAUAGAUUUCUCACCAUCUUCCUUGAUAGAAAUGCUAUUCUUUCUUUUCCUCCCAUUUGCUUUUUUAUGGAAAUAAGCAGUGUCCCUUUAGCAGCCACUCUACUGUUCACCUCCUCUUUUCUGCCAAUAUAACUCUUCCAUCUCACAAAUUUGGACCAAUUGAGCUUCCAAUUCAUAUCUUAGCCUCCAUUCAUUAGGAUUUAGCUGUGUAGUUUCGGCUUUAAUAUCAAUGACAGACAUAUAGCAGUAAUUAGAUUGGAUUUACUUCUUCUAUUGUCAGUAGCAUCAUUUGNNNNNNNNNNUUGUAGUUUCAGCUUUGCUAUCAAUGGCAGGCAUAUAACAGUAAUUAGAUUGGAUUUACUUCUUCUAUUGUCAGUAGCAUCAUUUGCCUUCCACCCUCUCAAGAACUUCCUGAAGCCCUGAGACACUUGUUGCCAAUAGUCUGGAAUGGAACAUUUGCAACAGUUCUUGUAGGCCAUUUCUGUAACAGCAUAUCUCUAAACCCUUCUUGCGGAUGGUUCAAAACGAAACUUAGUGGCAGCCCCUAUCUUCCCCAUUUUCUAGAAGUAAAGGACAAUGAUCUGACCCAGCUUGCAAGAGGGAUAGUAAAACUUAGGAAAUAAAUCCUCAUAAGUUGAAGAAACCAGAACUCUAUCCAAAACUUCUCUCACUGGCCUGUCUUGUUUGUUAGUCCAGGCCACCAACCCUUCUCAGUUCCUGUAGUUUAGUUUCAGAUAUGAAAGCAUUAAAAGCUUCCAUCCUAUUAAUAUGUAUUCUGCCAUUGUUUCAUGAGCAAAUCUNNNNNNNNNNGCCCUCUCAAGAACUUCCUGAAGCCGUGAGACACUUGUUGCCAAUAGUCUGGAAUGGAACAUUGGCAACAGUUCUUGUAGGCUGUUUCUGUAACAACAUAUCUCUAAACCCUUCUUGCGGAUGGUUCAAAACGAAACUUAGUGGAAGCCCCUAUCUUCCCCAUUUCCUAGAAGUAAAGGACAAUGAUCUGACCCAGCUUGCAAGAGGGAUAGUAAAACUUAGGAAAUAAAUCCUCAUAAGUUGAAGAAAUCAGAACUCUAUCCUAAACUUCUCUCACUAGCAUGUCUUGUUUGUUAGUCCAGGCCACCAACCCUUCUCAAUUCCAGUAGUUCAGUUUCAGAUAUGAAACCAUUAAAACCUUCCAUCCUAUUAAUAUGUAUUCUGCCAUUGUUUCAUGAGCAAAUCUGAUCAUGUCCCGCAAAGGUAGAUCAACACUCUGCACAAAGUUAGUGAGCUCUGACAAAAACAUAGCUCUUAAAGACUGUUUGGUUGGACCAUAAACAUCCACCCAAGCACAAUUAUCACAAAGCCUCUAUACUCAAACACCNNNNNNNNNNUGCAAAGUUAGUGAUCUCUGACAAAAACAUAGCUCUUAAAGACUGUUUGGUUGGACCAUGAACAUCCACCCAAGCACAAUUAUCACAAAGCCUCUAUACUCAAACACCAUGGAGAAAUUGACCCUCCCCAAUGAGGUCUGCAUCCAUGACAUCCAGAUUGACUCCAAUAAGCAUUCCACCUUUACUGCCACUGGCUGGCUUGCAAAACCACUUGAAAAGCUUUCUGCCACCAAUUGCCAUUAACUCUUUAUCUGAGAACUGUUCUCUCUUAGUUUCUUGCACACAAACUAUGUCCACCCACUCUAUCACUUCAGAAGGUUGCCCCCUUCUACCUGGCCAGGCCCCUCACAUUCAAGAUUAGUGUCUUCAUGGCGGUAUCUGUUUUUUGUUAUGCCUCCUCUUAGCUCUGCUCGUAGUGUUCUUGUCACCAACUGGUAUACAAGUACUGUGAUUAUCUAACUCUUCAACAAUCUGAGUAAUAUCCUCAUUCUCUGAAUCAGAGCUUAACUCGACACUGGAAGACUGNNNNNNNNNNAUCUGCUCGUAGUGUUCUUGUCACCAACUGGUAUACAAGUAUUGUGAUUAUCUAACUCUUCAACAAUCUAAGCAAUAUCCUCAUUCUCUGAAUCAGAGCUUAACUCGACACUGGAAGACUGCUCCUUCUCAUGAGCAGCUAACUUCUUUUUCUGAGCAGCUUCAUAAAGCAAUGCUUGAGCAAGUUCUCUUGCUUUAAUAGAAUUUAUAGACCUGUCAAUUUCCUCCUGUGUACUGCCCAACACUAGACCACUAUCUACAGCAGAUUUUACUAGACUAGCAGAAUCAAUGGAAUUGCAAAUAGCAUAUCUGUUAGUAGAAGACAUACCUGGUUCAUCAAGAUUCUUGCGUGAAGCCAUCCUUUCUGCACGUUGCUGAAUAGGCAUGCCAUCCUUCGGGAUCCUAUCCUAGCACUUGUCCUCGUUGCUUUAAUUCUUGCGUUUGCACCUCAUUGAACUUCUCUUGUUCUUUGGUCAUUCCAGAAAAAACCUCCAUACCUUAAUAAUAGGGGCUUGUGUAUAAAGGAAAGCAGCAAACCGGUCAAAGGCGAAGCUGUUCUAUCUCAACUCUCUGACUUGAAGGAAGAUGUGGCGGAUCUCAAGGCUGGCUCUAUUCCAAGUACAAGUUUCGAGGUGAAAUGUGUUGAUGUGGCCAAUCGAUAUACAGUAUAGUUGAAUGGUUCGACAAGUUCACAUGCCGGAGCUACCUGUUCUCCGCGAUUCAAGUUGGUUCUUCUGCCCCGCUCCACCAGAAUUGUGCAGACAUCGACACUAGCUUCUGACAAGUACCCUUUGAUAACUGAAAACAGCUCAUGCUGUAGGUUGGCAUCGCCUGAAUGACUGCCUUUAUUAGCGUUUCCUUUCCAUGCAUGCGUUCUUUCUCUCCUCCCCUCAGCCACACAUCUUUUUCGUUCGCUCCCCAUUUUAUUCUCUAAGGAACCCUCUCCUUAAUGAGCGUAGAUUGAUGGAGAUGGCUUUUGUACCGGUCAAUCUUUAUAUCCUUUCUGGCAUAGUUUUGUAAAAGAUCGGCAGAUGAUCCGUCCUUUCUCCUCUGCCGUGGUUCAUGCAUUCUUCCUUUUUGGAAAGCGGAUAGGGAUCGGGUGAAUUAGAGAAUAGACAGACGUCCGUUGGCAUUUCAGCCUUUCUUCUCCUUUCAGGGCCUAUCCGAAAGAGAAUCCAGUACCUCUUGGUCCUAAAUAUCAGAAUAGGACGCGCAACAACGGAACAACAAGAGCAAGACCGCUCCAAACUAAAUCACAGUAGAAGUUAUGGCCACUCAGGCUGGACCAAAACAGCAAGCGGAAGGUCUCCGAAAGUCCUACAUUAGCACCAAGCCAUCCCCCAAGGGAGGGUAUAACGGAGUGUGGUAAAAUCCAGUUGCUAACGCUCCCGGCUGUGGGUUCUUCACAAUUAGCAGGGCUUCUAUUCUAGUACAGAGAUCACCACUUGUUAUGCCAGGGUCUCCUUUUUCGAGUUGGUUACUGUCUUGUUGAGCAACGUUUUCCCGGCAAUCUCCGCUUAUUAGGGUGGCCUCUAACAGGUCGGGAGAGUACUAAAAAUCUGGCUCAUACGCCUCGCAAGAUUGAACAUCUGCGAAAGUCGUCUCGAAGCUCUGACUCUCGAGAGAAAGUAUUGCCUACCAGUGACUUAUUUUACUGAAUAAGAAUGCCUACUGUACUAGCUUCUUUCUUGACUCCAUUAACUCAGUUUACAGAAAGGAAUCCGUCCAGUCCAGUAAGAAGGAAUAGAGAAGAAGAAAGUCACUCAUCAACUCCUACUUUGGUUAUUGAGACUUGCCCGCGUAUCUGACCUAUGUGUACCUAUUCCCUAGCCUAAGUAGCUUACCCACUGUCCUAAUAACUGUCUGUCAAUCCGGCAGCUUGCCCUACUGCCUAUCGACGCUACUGUCCUAAGUCUCCUACUCAUAUACCCAAGGUCAAAGACUUUGCAGGGCAACAAACUGAUUUCGGAAUUGCUUAACUGCUGAGAGCUAAUAUCGGGGAGUAGUAAGCCAGCCCACCACAAGAUGAAUGAGUGCUCCUCUCCUAUGCCGACUUACUAGCCAGGUUGAGCCUUUGAGCCAUAAGAGGAGGGAGAAUCUUGUUGAUUUUCCAGGGAAUGAUUAUAUGGAUUUCAAGGAGGAUAUUGUUACCUUCAUCAGAUUGAUUGAUAACUGGUCGUCGAUUGACAACUACUGCUUUUUCCAGUGAGAAAGGAAGGAGGAAGGGGAUCUCAACAAGCCAUGGAUAUAUAGCCUACAGCCGAGUCCACAAAGAAGACGGUUUCAAAGCUUGAAGAGCAUAUUUGUGAGGCUGAUCCCUAAGUGCAGAGUUUCAUGUGACGAACAACGAAACUCCAUUUCUUCAAACACAACCCUGUGCCACCGACAAACGUUUGACUUUGACUGUGUUUUUUUUGGGCUAUGAAGAUUCUACUUAUACCCAAUGAUGGAACAUUUUGAAAAUAUGUUCAACGGGAUCUUAAGAAAGGCAAAUUUCAAGCCUAUAGUUUUUAAGAUCAUCUCGCUAAUCGAAAGAUGAAGGAUGAUGAACACUACAUGGCUAGUGGCCUUAUGCAAACAAAGAAGAGGGAUGCCUAACCAAUUGAUCCUAAAAUAUCUUAUUUGAGAUAGGUCAGAUUGGACUUAGUGGCCAACGUUAGGUAUGGUAGAGUCAAUAUGGGAUGUGGAAUUCCAGGAAACAUUCUUAUCCGCGCUCACUAACAAUGUGAAAUUGGUCCUUAGUUUCCUCCAACUGAUUNNNNNNNNNNGUCUUAAGAAAGGCAAAUUUCAGGCCUGUAGUUUUUAAGAUCAUCUCGCUAAUCGAAAGAUGAAGGAUAGCGAACACUAGAUGGCUAGUGGCCUUAUGCAAACAAAGAAGAGGGAUGCCUAACCAAUUGAUCCUAAAAGAUCUUAUUUGAGAUAGGUCAGAUUGGACUUAGUGGCCAACGUUAGGGAUGGUAGAGUCAAUAUGGGAUGUGGAAUUCCAGGAAACGUUCUUAUCCGCGCUCACUGAUAAUGUGAACCUGGUCCUUAGUUUCCUCCAACUGAUUCCUGUUUUUUUGAGCCUUUUUCAGUAAGUCCUUAAUAGCUAAAAAUGCUUUGACUCUAAGGGUUACCUUGGUACCUUUAUUCGGAUAUGCUUCUUUUCGGACAGGAGGGGCAGAUUGACAUUCAGGCAAUGGCACAUGGAUUCUAUUGAGAAGGGUUGGCUGCUCUCGACGACGGGGUGGGGGAAUGAGAUGCUGGGAGAUGGGAGUUAUUGGUGGAUUGAGAGGGGAGCAGAUGCAUGGGCUAGUUCAAUCUUUUUGCUCCUGCCUUCCUAGCCUUAUGGACAGGAGUCCUCUGGCCUAGUCCUGAAACUCUUCCCGCAGCCUUCCUUGCCCUUAUUGCCCGGCAUACCUCGGAAGGCAUACCCUGGAACCAAUUCAUUCAUCUGCCCUCUUCGCGAUAAAGCUUUGCCUUACUUUGCUUGCUGGCUCUAAGCCCACCUCCUUUACUACACUACACCCUCUCACCGCCCCUAUUCAGCCCGAAAGGCUUCUAACUUCCCCGAAACCUUACUUAUUCAGGGCAAGAUUCGGAACUUAGGGUCACUGCCUUUCAUCCGCCUUUCUCUCAUAUGCUUAGAACCUAUCCAUAGAAAUGGAAUUCAAAACUUCGGAAUAGUUUCGAGGAGAGCCGAGAGGACAUGUUCAAGGAGUAGUGUAAAGUAGCAGACAGAGGGGCGCUCCCGCUUAGGCAUUAGGCAUUAGGCACGAGAAAGGACAUCGUUCUCGGCCGUCCCUUCCUUCCCGGAAAAAGGCUCUCUUGCAUCUUUUGCUUCCCCACCCGGCCUCUAUUCUAGAUUCACCGUCUUCGGAUGCAUCAGUUUAUUAUGCUUAUGCCUAAUCUUAAUACUGGCUAGUUACUUCAAUUACCUUACCCCACCGCCCCUCCUUUUAAGGAGGUUUCAGAGCACCCAGUCACAGCUCGUCACAAGAAAGGAUUGAUGGUCGAGUCCCCGUGCAUGAAGUCAGUGGAUUCGAGUGAACUGACCGUACUACAAAUCGACAUACUUGAGGAAGCUUCUUACUAAACCAAAGAAAGGGCAACUCCAGUUGUGUUGUCGAUUCCCUUCUCCCGAGAGCUUUCACACUCUGGGAUGGGAGUCCCUUCAAAGACUUGACCAAAAGCUCCCCACAAUUUCUUAAUUUGAAGUAGUUUGGAGGCCUUCUUCUAGUUAUGAAUAGCCCUCGUCUGUCACUAUAGAUGUUCUAGCUUUAGUCUUCAGUGUCAUUUUUAGUUAUGCAUUUGGAAUGAUCCCUUUCCAAGCAAACUAAACUAACCUUGCUAAGUGNNNNNNNNNNNNNNNNNNNNNNNNNNNNNNNNNNNNNNNNNNNNNNNNNNNNNNNNNNNNNNNNNNNNNNNNNNNNNNNNNNNNNNNNNNNNNNNNNNNNAUAGGUGGAAAUGGGAAUGGGAUCGCCCGAGAAACCAUUGGAUCUAGGAAAUUGAUUCAUUGUUCUGCCUCUCCCACUGGUGGUGGGUGGCAACCAAAGGACUUGAAUCUAGCGUUUGUUCCGGUUGAGCUUUCAUUCCUUCGAAUAGACGGAUAGCUCUUGGAGGAAGGGAUGAGCUUUUAUCGGAAGGACCUGGCCGAUGCAAUUGAGAGACUGAGAGGAACUGGACUUGGCAGAGGAAUGCAUAGAAAUAUCUGCCUUUGCCAGGAGAAUCCAAACCUGCCUAAUAGCCUAUGAAUGUGGAAUCCCGUUCGUAUUCUUCCUCAAAGCCAUAUUUGCCUUUAUCUGAUUUCAACCUAUUGAUCUUUACUGUGCAUGGAUAUCUUGACUCAUGAUUCAACAGUUCACAUCCCCAGCGAACUCCCUCACACCAAUUGGCAUUAAAGAGGAGCUGUGCCAAAAAGUGCCAUAGCAUAUAUUAUUGCUUGCGCAAAGAUCGGAAUCAUACCUCUAGCAGGCAUUUUCUGUUACCUAAACAGCUGUCAUUUCUACUUUACUGAAAUAGAGACUUUCAUUGAUACUUGAACUAUUGACCUGGCUAGCGCUAACGCUUUGCAAGGUAAUUGGAGACUGGUCCGCUUGAAAUCGCUNNNNNNNNNNNNNNNNNNNNNNNNNNNNNNNNNNNNNNNNNNNNNNNNNNNNNNNNNNNNNNNNNNNNNNNNNNNNNNNNNNNNNNNNNNNNNNNNNNNNUGAUUUUAUUGGGACGCUAGUGAGUUAAUGAGCACUCUUUGCAUGGUUCCAUCAACCCUUUUCUUGCGUGUUCUGAAUCGACUUCUCAUCUAUAAAGAAGAGAUGCCCCGUAGAAGACUCCAGGCCACCGAAGCUAACAAAAGGCUAAGGACACCCAUUUAGUUCUUUGUUCUUAUGCCGACUAAAGCUAGCGGAGCCACAGCUUGAAUCUCCCUAGAAAUCCCCACUCGUAGCCCGACGGCUGGGUUUGUUAAGCAUAUUCGAUUGGAAGCUCUUCUUCACCGGGUUAAGCGAUGGUAGUUUUAGGCUUGGCUUAUCACCAUAUCCAACCCGAAUUCCGUAGUUCGAAAGGAGAAUUAGGCUACCUGAGAACAACUGAUUAUCCAAAACAUGAGACUGCUUUCUUAGCAAAGCUUUGCUUGGCUCAACUUAGUCUCUAUCUCUAAUGGCUAGACCAAGACCCCUGGUCGGAUACUUUUAUUGACCUCUUGCUGUUUGCAAAAAAGCUAUCCAGAUUUCAAUAAGUCUUGUCAUCCUUGCAUGUUUUUGACCUGGCAUGCUUCUUGCUUUCUUUUCGUAAGAACCGGCGUUGAAGAGGAGUGUGAUGCCAGGGGAAGUCGACUCGGUUACCGGGUCUGUCCUGUGAGGGAUCGUUAUAUAGUUUUCAUCUGGUAGGUCUUCUUACUUAUGAUGCCUGGAACUUUAACUAGAACUGGGCAUUCCUCAACCGAAACAAUUAGAGAACUAGUUAUUCCCGCGGGACACGAACUUACAUGAAACUAAACUUUAAAAACAAGUUUACUUUCGUUAGAAAAUAGAAAAACCAACGGAAAAGAAAGUCUCAUGUUGCUCCUCAGAAAACGCGUAGAAUAGUCUCAUUGGCCCUCGUCGAUGGGACAAUCCAGUGUAUGCGUUACAAGGCAACUAGCAUUUAGUUCGUGAAAGAAUGUUUCGUUGGAAAAACCAACGCCGACGUCAAGAUCAGUCUCCUUUCUCUUUUCGGGAGCAGAGCUGAAAAAGAUGGGAAAUUCCAAUGAUUCUUCGUUCAUUAGAAUGUCGAUUCCUCACAAUCGCUCUUUGUGAUGCUGCGGAACCAUGGCAAUUAGGAUCUCAAGACGCAGCAACACCUAUGAUGCAAGGAAUCAUUGACUUACAUCANNNNNNNNNNNNNNNNNNNNNNNNNNNNNNNNNNNNNNNNNNNNNNNNNNNNNNNNNNNNNNNNNNNNNNNNNNNNNNNNNNNNNNNNNNNNNNNNNNNNUCACUCUACUCUCCCAAAUCCACUUUCUAGUAUGAAGUGAUAUGCUCUCUUAGCUCUUUUGGAGAAUGUAUAGAUUUCUCACCAUCUUCCUUGAUAGAAAUGCUAUUCUUUCUUUUCCUCCCAUUUGCUUUUUUAUGGAAAUAAGCAGUGUCCCUUUAGCAGCCACUCUACUGUUCACCUCCUCUUUUCUGCCAAUAUAACUCUUCCAUCUCACAAAUUUGGACCAAUUGAGCUUCCAAUUCAUAUCUUAGCCUCCAUUCAUUAGGAUUUAGCUGUGUAGUUUCGGCUUUAAUAUCAAUGACAGACAUAUAGCAGUAAUUAGAUUGGAUUUACUUCUUCUAUUGUCAGUAGCAUCAUUUGCCUUCCACCCUCUCAAGAACUUCCUGAAGCCCUGAGACACUUGUUGCCAAUAGUCUGGAAUGGAACAUUUGCAACAGUUCUUGUAGGCCAUUUCUGUAACAGCAUAUCUCUAAACCCUUCUUGCGGAUGGUUCAAAACGAAACUUAGUGGCAGCCCCUAUCUUCCCCAUUUUCUAGAAGUAAAGGACAAUGAUCUGACCCAGCUUGCAAGAGGGAUAGUAAAACUUAGGAAAUAAAUCCUCAUAAGUUGAAGAAACCAGAACUCUAUCCAAAACUUCUCUCACUGGCCUGUCUUGUUUGUUAGUCCAGGCCACCAACCCUUCUCAGUUCCUGUAGUUUAGUUUCAGAUAUGAAAGCAUUAAAAGCUUCCAUCCUAUUAAUAUGUAUUCUGCCAUUGUUUCAUGAGCAAAUCUGAUCAUGUCCCGCAAAGGUAGAUCAACACUCUGCANNNNNNNNNNNNNNNNNNNNNNNNNNNNNNNNNNNNNNNNNNNNNNNNNNNNNNNNNNNNNNNNNNNNNNNNNNNNNNNNNNNNNNNNNNNNNNNNNNNNCUCCUUCUCAUGAGCAGCUAACUUCUUUUUCUGAGCAGCUUCAUAAAGCAAUGCUUGAGCAAGUUCUCUUGCUUUAAUAGAAUUUAUAGACCUGUCAAUUUCCUCCUGUGUACUGCCCAACACUAGACCACUAUCUACAGCAGAUUUUACUAGACUAGCAGAAUCAAUGGAAUUGCAAAUAGCAUAUCUGUUAGUAGAAGACAUACCUGGUUCAUCAAGAUUCUUGCGUGAAGCCAUCCUUUCUGCACGUUGCUGAAUAGGCAUGCCAUCCUUCGGGAUCCUAUCCUAGCACUUGUCCUCGUUGCUUUAAUUCUUGCGUUUGCACCUCAUUGAACUUCUCUUGUUCUUUGGUCAUUCCAGAAAAAACCUCCAUACCUUAAUAAUAGGGGCUUGUGUAUAAAGGAAAGCAGCAAACCGGUCAAAGGCGAAGCUGUUCUAUCUCAACUCUCUGACUUGAAGGAAGAUGUGGCGGAUCUCAAGGCUGGCUCUAUUCCAAGUACAAGUUUCGAGGUGAAAUGUGUUGAUGUGGCCAAUCGAUAUACAGUAUAGUUGAAUGGUUCGACAAGUUCACAUGCCGGAGCUACCUGUUCUCCGCGAUUCAAGUUGGUUCUUCUGCCCCGCUCCACCAGAAUUGUGCAGACAUCGACACUAGCUUCUGACAAGUACCCUUUGAUAACUGAAAACAGCUCAUGCUGUAGGUUGGCAUCGCCUGAAUGACUGCCUUUAUUAGCGUUUCCUUUCCAUGCAUGCGUUCUUUCUCUCCUCCCCUCAGCCACACAUCUUUUUCGUUCGCUCCCCAUUUUAUUCUCUAAGGAACCCUCUCCUUAAUGAGCGUAGAUUGAUGGAGAUGGCUUUUGUACCGGUCAAUCUUUAUAUCCUUUCUGGCAUAGUUUUGUAAAAGAUCGGCAGAUGAUCCGUCCUUUCUCCUCUGCCGUGGUUCAUGCAUUCUUCCUUUUUGGAAAGCGGAUAGGGAUCGGGUGAAUUAGAGAAUAGACAGACGUCCGUUGGCAUUUCAGCCUUUCUUCUCCUUUCAGGGCCUAUCCGAAAGAGAAUCCAGUACCUCUUGGUCCUAAAUAUCAGAAUAGGACGCGCAACAACGGAACAACAAGAGCAAGACCGCUCCAAACUAAAUCACAGUAGAAGUUAUGGCCACUCAGGCUGGACCAAAACAGCAAGCGGAAGGUCUCCGAAAGUCCUACAUUAGCACCAAGCCAUCCCCCAAGGGAGGGUAUAACGGAGUGUGGUAAAAUCCAGUUGCUAACGCUCCCGGCUGUGGGUUCUUCACAAUUAGCAGGGCUUCUAUUCUAGUACAGAGAUCACCACUUGUUAUGCCAGGGUCUCCUUUUUCGAGUUGGUUACUGUCUUGUUGAGCAACGUUUUCCCGGCAAUCUCCGCUUAUUAGGGUGGCCUCUAACAGGUCGGGAGAGUACUAAAAAUCUGGCUCAUACGCCUCGCAAGAUUGAACAUCUGCGAAAGUCGUCUCGAAGCUCUGACUCUCGAGAGAAAGUAUUGCCUACCAGUGACUUAUUUUACUGAAUAAGAAUGCCUACUGUACUAGCUUCUUUCUUGACUCCAUUAACUCAGUUUACAGAAAGGAAUCCGUCCAGUCCAGUAAGAAGGAAUAGAGAAGAAGAAAGUCACUCAUCAACUCCUACUUUGGUUAUUGAGACUUGCCCGCGUAUCUGACCUAUGUGUACCUAUUCCCUAGCCUAAGUAGCUUACCCACUGUCCUAAUAACUGUCUGUCAAUCCGGCAGCUUGCCCUACUGCCUAUCGACGCUACUGUCCUAAGUCUCCUACUCAUAUACCCAAGGUCAAAGACUUUGCAGGGCAACAAACUGAUUUCGGAAUUGCUUAACUGCUGAGAGCUAAUAUCGGGGAGUAGUAAGCCAGCCCACCACAAGAUGAAUGAGUGCUCCUCUCCUAUGCCGACUUACUAGCCAGGUUGAGCCUUUGAGCCAUAAGAGGAGGGAGAAUCUUGUUGAUUUUCCAGGGAAUGAUUAUAUGGAUUUCAAGGAGGAUAUUGUUACCUUCAUCAGAUUGAUUGAUAACUGGUCGUCGAUUGACAACUACUGCUUUUUCCAGUGAGAAAGGAAGGAGGAAGGGGAUCUCAACAAGCCAUGGAUAUAUAGCCUACAGCCGAGUCCACAAAGAAGACGGUUUCAAAGCUUGAAGAGCAUAUUUGUGAGGCUGAUCCCUAAGUGCAGAGUUUCAUGUGACGAACAACGAAACUCCAUUUCUUCAAACACAACCCUGUGCCACCGACAAACGUUUGACUUUGACUGUGUUUUUUUUGGGCUAUGAAGAUUCUACUUAUACCCAAUGAUGGAACAUUUUGAAAAUAUGUUCAACGGGGUCUUAAGAAAGGCAAAUUUCAGGCCUGUAGUUUUUAAGAUCAUCUCGCUAAUCGAAAGAUGAAGGAUAGCGAACACUAGAUGGCUAGUGGCCUUAUGCAAACAAAGAAGAGGGAUGCCUAACCAAUUGAUCCUAAAAGAUCUUAUUUGAGAUAGGUCAGAUUGGACUUAGUGGCCAACGUUAGGGAUGGUAGAGUCAAUAUGGGAUGUGGAAUUCCAGGAAACGUUCUUAUCCGCGCUCACUGAUAAUGUGAACCUGGUCCUUAGUUUCCUCCAACUGAUUCCUGUUUUUUUGAGCCUUUUUCAGUAAGUCCUUAAUAGCUAAAAAUGCUUUGACUCUAAGGGUUACCUUGGUACCUUUAUUCGGAUAUGCUUCUUUUCGGACAGGAGGGGCAGAUUGACAUUCAGGCAAUGGCACAUGGAUUCUAUUGAGAAGGGUUGGCUGCUCUCGACGACGGGGUGGGGGAAUGAGAUGCUGGGAGAUGGGAGUUAUUGGUGGAUUGAGAGGGGAGCAGAUGCAUGGGCUAGUUCAAUCUUUUUGCUCCUGCCUUCCUAGCCUUAUGGACAGGAGUCCUCUGGCCUAGUCCUGAAACUCUUCCCGCAGCCUUCCUUGCCCUUAUUGCCCGGCAUACCUCGGAAGGCAUACCCUGGAACCAAUUCAUUCAUCUGCCCUCUUCGCGAUAAAGCUUUGCCUUACUUUGCUUGCUGGCUCUAAGCCCACCUCCUUUACUACACUACACCCUCUCACCGCCCCUAUUCAGCCCGAAAGGCUUCUAACUUCCCCGAAACCUUACUUAUUCAGGGCAAGAUUCGGAACUUAGGGUCACUGCCUUUCAUCCGCCUUUCUCUCAUAUGCUUAGAACCUAUCCAUAGAAAUGGAAUUCAAAACUUCGGAAUAGUUUCGAGGAGAGCCGAGAGGACAUGUUCAAGGAGUAGUGUAAAGUAGCAGACAGAGGGGCGCUCCCGCUUAGGCAUUAGGCAUUAGGCACGAGAAAGGACAUCGUUCUCGGCCGUCCCUUCCUUCCCGGAAAAAGGCUCUCUUGCAUCUUUUGCUUCCCCACCCGGCCUCUAUUCUAGAUUCACCGUCUUCGGAUGCAUCAGUUUAUUAUGCUUAUGCCUAAUCUUAAUACUGGCUAGUUACUUCAAUUACCUUACCCCACCGCCCCUCCUUUUAAGGAGGUUUCAGAGCACCCAGUCACAGCUCGUCACAAGAAAGGAUUGAUGGUCGAGUCCCCGUGCAUGAAGUCAGUGGAUUCGAGUGAACUGACCGUACUACAAAUCGACAUACUUGAGGAAGCUUCUUACUAAACCAAAGAAAGGGCAACUCCAGUUGUGUUGUCGAUUCCCUUCUCCCGAGAGCUUUCACACUCUGGGAUGGGAGUCCCUUCNNNNNNNNNNNNNNNNNNNNNNNNNNNNNNNNNNNNNNNNNNNNNNNNNNNNNNNNNNNNNNNNNNNNNNNNNNNNNNNNNNNNNNNNNNNNNNNNNNNNUAUUUUAAUUUUGAAGGAGUUUCACAUAUUCUACGGUACUACAUACAUGCAUAUGAAUGUACAAUUUCAAACAAAUUUGAAAUUAGAACCAAAAAGAAUUCAAGAGGAAUAUACAAUAUAUAUUCAAUAUCAUCGGAUGACCAUAUACAAUUUUGAACAAGUUUCCAUACAUAAUUUAAUGCAUAUGAAGUUCUACGUCCUCGUAAUGGUGUUCUCCUUUACGAUGGAGGACUUCCCUCCUGAACCAUCCAGCUAGUUCCUCUUGAAGUGGUCGGAAGCGAGCUUCUGGACUAAGCAUCACCCGGAGGUUAUUCCGCUGAGCAUUGGUAUCACUCGGAACCCGCUCAGAGGUGUAUCUCCGGAUCAUCUCACAGACAUAGUAUCCACAUAGAUUGGUCCCCGCUGGCUGAAUAUCCCCACCAUUCUUAGCCUUUGACCUUUUGAAUUCUAGCUCUUUUUUGAAUUCACCGACCUUUGUAUCUACGAACCGUCUCCAAACCCUACGAGGCAAAGAAAAUUAAAUGAACAAGAGAGUUAUUAGUUACUUGAUAUUAGGAAAUGAACGAAAUAGGCCGAUCGAUAUAGAGCGCAAAUGAAUGAAAAUAAUUACUUCUGCAGCAUUCUUCUCAUGCCGCCCCAAAGCUUUGGAUCCAUAUUCAGAGAGUCGUGGACGAGACAUUCUGAGGUGUCAACUUUAAUUACUAGCAGAAUCCAGUGGAACCUGCGGACACGAUACAUGCACAGUACGUCAUGCAUAACUCAUCGAUUAGCCGGCCACAUAUCAUGCAUGGAGUAAACAAAAGAGAAUGUGCUCAAGACAGAAACACUCACCCAAAAUGGUAAGGAAAUAGAAUAUCACUUUUGAGUUCCUGCUUUGUAAGAAACUGCCACAGGUCUGCCUCCAUGUAGGCGGGGUGAUGCUCCAACACAUAUCCAUUAACGAUGUGUGGGUCAAUGAACCCAACAUCAUGGAUGUUCCUUACUCUGCAUUCCUUAAUCUUCAUUCUGCAUGUAUAAUAGCGGACACAACAAUAUAGUUACGACAUAUAUAUAGUGCAGGCAAUAUGAACGAGAUGGGGUAUAAAUAAAUCACUUACAGAACGUAGCAACUGAUGAUAGAUUUGUCGAGCUCGCGCAGAUUGAAAAGCUGGAACAAUUCACUCAGAUGAAUUUGUACAUAGUAAUGUUUGAAGUGAUGCUCAUAUCUAACUUCCGCAUAAAUAUAAUCUUUGGCGUUUUUAUUUUUUAUGUAACCCUUGUACCAUUUCAGCAGACCUUUCAUUUGUGGAGGUAGAUCCUCUUCCUGCGCAGGCUCGACGAGAGGCCCAUUCUUCACAUAUGUAAUUACUACCUCCUUCACUGGCGCCUCAUCAAGGCCUAACAUUUCACGAAGAGUAAUACCUAAGUUGGCCGCUUGUUCUCUGGCACUCGUUACAGUCAAUCCAUGUGCUGCCGCAGCUGCUAUGAUAUCGGGGUCAUCCGGACCGGCGGCUUUCACUAUAAGCGGGGCAAUCGAUUGUUUACUUUGUUCCCCGAGCUGGGCAACUCGUUUCCCGCUUUUUUUACUUUCUAAUUCCGUUUUCUCGGCCUCCUCCAAGGCUUUGUUCUCCUGGUUCUCCGCCCGCUCUUUCUUCUCCUUCAACAUGAGUGCCUGCCUACGAAGUUCACGUGCAUAGUCGUCAGGCAGAUUCUUCGCGGCUUGGGACGGUGUGCUCAAAAAUGACUUAGCCCACUUCUUUUGCUCAUCAGAAAAUACUGGCUUGGGCUCGGGCUCUCUUUUCUUCUUGCAGUUCGCCUUCCAUUUCUCAUGAUCAGCAGCCGCCCUCGCGGCAGUUUCCUCGGCACUACGUUCCCAAGGCCUUGUGGGGAGAGGCUUCAGUGAUGGCUCCGGUACCUUUGUGGUCUUAGGUACAUAAGGGUCCGGGUUAAUAAUCCAGGACUGCUUCUGCUUCUUUGCCGGAGGUGGAUUGGGGGGUGGCGUCUGAUCACCCGCCGGACGAGGACUGGGGGGCGGCGUCUGAUCACCCGCCGGACGUUGUGGACUGGGGGGCGUCGGCUGACGUGACGGAGGUGUAGGUGAACCGUCACCACCACCACCACCACCACCACCGCCACCGCCACCACCACCACCGUAGGGGGGUGGACUUGUUGUCCUUGGCGCCUCGCCUGGAAACUUGAUAAACUUCUUUUGCCAUAGAAUGAAAUGGCGCUUGACAUCUCCAAGUCUUUUCUCCCCUUCAGGUGUAGCAAUGUCAAUCUCCAGGUCCUCAAACCCUUGGACUAUGUCCUCCACCGUGACACGAGCAUAGCCAUCUUGAAUGGGGUUGUUGUGGUGGAGUGCUCCAGGUAAACAUGGUAAAGCACUGCCGAUGGCUACCUUCAUGGACAUGUUCCCGAUAGGAUAAUACAGAUGACAUUCUUUCAUCUCCUUUAUAUCGUCCACGGGGUAGCGAGGAGGCUCCGGUGCAGUAAUUUCGACCACCAGAGGCUCCGGUGCAGUAAUUUCGUUCGUCGGUGCAUCUGCACCAGCUGGUGGGGCCUCCGUGGAAGCCACGCUGCUUCUCCGCUGCUGGCUUCCGAGAUCCGCUGGAUGAUCUUCAUGCUGCGCCCGAACAUCUCUUUCGGCUAAUAGUACACUCACGGUUUUCUUCAUCACAUCCAUUUCCGAUGCCAACCGUGCCACAACAUCUGCUUCCCGAUCCAUCUUUCUCUUACGGCUUCUGUAACCGUACGGGUCAUCGUUCUGGGGGAACCCUAUUUUCCACGGAAUGUUCCCCAUGCCUCGUACACGUCCUCCGUGUUCAGGAUUCCCGAGGGCUUUUGUCAGCGCGUCGUUCUCUCUGUUGAACUUGAUCUUCCCCUCUUGAGCAUCCCUCAUUGCGUCAAUAAGGGCUUGGGUGGGUUUAAUUAAUUUGCCCCGGUAAACACACUCCCCUGUCUCCGGGUUCAGCGUUCCCCCAUGCCCGUACCACCAGCUUUUGGCCCUUUGGUCCCAUCCCUCCGUACCUGGACGGAUUCCUCGCGCCCUCAGCUCGUUCUCCAUCUUCUCCAACCUAGGCACCCAAAUGCGAUACCCUCCUGGCCCCAUAAUAUGAUUGUACUCCUUCUUAGCCGCAUUUUCCUUAUUUCUUUUCGAUAUUUGAAUGAACUGCUCCGAUUUCUUUUGCUUCACAAAUUCUGGCCAAUCAUGUUUCAGUUUCUCAUAUUGUCCUUUGAAAUCCGGAGUCUUGUUCUGCUUGACAAAGUCAUGGGCUAGAUUUUGCUUGAAUUUCCGGAAUGCGUCGGCCAUCUUAUGAAGAGCGAACUGUUUGACUAGCCUCCUCCUCUCCUUGUUUUCCUCAAUCUUGUUACCCUCCUCAUCGAAUUUGUUGUAUUCCGGAGGUAGAACGAAAUGUUCCAUAAGCUUCUUGAAGCAAUCUUUUUUUGUUCUCUUAUCGACAAAAGUGAAACCAGCAUUUCGUGCCUUCUUUGGCUCAUUCCACUCCUGGACGGUGAUCGAGACGUUGUCUCUAACAACGGCUCCGCAUUGGCUGACAAACUUGGUGGCGUUCUUGCGGGGCUCCAGCGGCCUGCCGGUUGCACUGUCGACAACCUCGAUGGUGCAUGUUUCUCCUUGUUUCAUCGUCUUGGUUGCGCCACGCUUUGACGACGUACUCGAUUGUUUCGACGAUCCGGCCGAGGGCUAAAAUAAGAAAGAGAGUCGCGCGCGUUAGUACACACGUAUUUAUUCAAAUCAGUUAGUUUGUAUCACCAGAGGCUCAAUGUAUAUAUAUACCUCGGCGCCGGAGGUGGUUGCUACUUCCAUUUGAAGAUCGUCGUUUAUCGACGUUUGUUCGGCAUCAUCUUGCUGACGGCGCCCUUCAUCUUCACCGUCAAGGUUCAGAUAAGAAGAGAUAUCAUCUUCUUGAUCUUGUCCGGUCGGCACAUAUAGAAUAUCGCCGUUUAUGAUGCCGAACAUAUGUGCUUCACCGUCCGGAUCAUAGUUGUCCAUAAUCGGGUCAGCUCUAUCGUCCGCCAUUAUGUCAGUCCUGAAAACAUGUAGUAAAAACAAAUUAAUUAAGUGAAGAAGGGGGGCGGUGGCGGUGGCGGUGGCGAAAGGGCGGUGGCAAAAGGAGGGGGUGAGGAAGGGGUCAAACACUCAUGCCCGUCUAUUGACAAGUACCCCCUCUUGUUUGGUUUUACUCCGUGUAUAAAAUUUGACUGAUGUUGAACUUCGUCAAGUUCGAUCGAAUGCGUGUUAAGAAACAUCAAUAUCCACAACACUAAAGUUUAACUUCAAACGAAUCAUGUAAAAAAAGGAACGAAGGGAGUACUGCAUCGCCUGUCGCUAGAAAGGAUAAGCGUUAAACCUUGAGCUUUGAUCUCUGUUAGGCUAGGAUGCAAUCACCAUCGGUCGGGUGCCAUGCUACUGAUUGAAACAACAGCCUAUAACGGUCUCGGAUCCAACUUGGGCUCAUGUUCUGAGAUCACUUUACAUUUUUUGACAAAACAAAUUGACAUCAGAUGAUUAUACAUUUUUAUUGUCUGUUUGUUUGCCAUAUUGUGUGUUUUUUCAUCUUAAUAAUGUUAAUUUUACGAACUUGUCUAAACAAGACUAAUACGGUUUUAUUCAACUAUUACUUAUCCAUUAACUCAUUUUUAUGCCUGACGUGCAAAGUGAUAUUAGCGUGUUAUAGCCCACCAGAGGUAAACAACCCACACCAUUUUCUAAAAUAUUUUUUCAGAAUAGAUUGUUGUUAGAUUCUAGAGUGGUGGGUUUAGUGCCAAAUAGUCAACGUCAUUGUGGAAAAUAAGAAAAAUGCACAAUAUUCAUCAUCUAUUUCUUAAUCAAUGGAAUGUGACACCAUGACACAUUUAGUCGCGCGCCCAAGUUGGAUCCGAGACCGUUAUAGACAUACUUUAGAACGUAGAUUCACUCAUUUUGCUUCGUAUAUACUCAUCUAAUGAAAUCUAUAAAAAAAAACUUAGAACGUAGAUUCACUCAUUUUAGGAACGGAGGGAGUAUACUAAGUGAAUCAAGUAUCCAACGGUGCAUCAAGGUUAACGGCAAUCAAGAUUCAUAGUGCAAUUCUUCAAUCCUUCUUGCACUUGCACAUAGGUUAACGGCGCCGUACGUGGGCGAGAAGGCCGGCGGCGAGGGCGAGGGGCGACGGCGGGCGGCGUACGUGGCCGGGCAAGGGUGACGGCGGGCGGCGAGGGCGGCGUCGAGGGCGAGGGCGACGGCGGGCGGCGAGGGCGGCGUCGAGGGCGAGGGCGACGGCGGGCGGCGAGGGCGGCGUCGAGGGCGAGGAUCGGAGAAGACGAGAAUCGGAGAAGACGGCGGCAGGCCUUGUAUUUAUAACCCCCACCUUUAGUCGCGGUUGGAUAAACCAACCGCGACUAAAGGGUUUUUUCGUUCCGGCGCGCAACGACCUUUAGUCGCGGUUGGUCUGGCCAACCGCGACUAAAGGUAUUUUUCAAAAUACUUUUCUUUUUCAAUAUCUUAAAAAUACAAAUAAUAUAUCAAAAAAUUCAGAAAAAUAAAACUAAUUCAAUUCAAUAUGUUAAAAACACAAAAAUUAUAUCAAAAAAUUAAGAAAAAUAAAACUAAUUCAAUUCAAAAUGUUAAAAAUACAAAUAAUAUAUCAAAAAAUUCAGAAAAAUAACACUAAUUCAAUUCAAACGUCCUUAUCCCACCGACAGUUUUCUUAGAUGACACAAAAACCACAUUUAGUCCCGGUUGCACCAACCAGCCGGGACUAAAGGUUAGAUGACCAGCUCUGGAUUCCUCUUCUUCCCGCCAUUUCUUCCCUGUCUUCCCGCCUCUUUCUUCCCGCCACUUUCUUCCCGCCUCCUGUCUUUCCGCUCCCAUUUUUCCCGCCAUUUCUCACUACAUAUAUGUAGCCCGGCUUGGCCAGCAUUAUCACAUCUCUACAAUCUCUCAUCACUCUCUCAUGGCUUCCACCGCACCCACUCUAACCUACCAGCAGGUGGAGGAGCUUUGCGCCUCGAACUACCCUUGUCCACCGGGCUACCGCGUCCCCACCGGCUGGAGCCUAAGCGCCGGCGGCGUGCCGGUCCCUCCCGUCCCUCAGGGUACUGCGCGUCGGGCGGCCAUCACGAACCACUACUACCUCGACCUCACGCCGGAGCAGCGGAUGAAUCCCCGCUGGCAUCCCGAUAACCAGCAUACUUGGGACGCCUUCUUCAUCAAUCGGCGUGAAAGGGCGCUCGCCAGGUAUGAGGAGGACGGUCUGCCUCCUGGGAACUUCCACGAGGCCGGCCGUCGGCUAUGGUGGUACGGCCGGACUCUGCAGAGCGUCAUGGACUACAUCACGGCCGGCGAUAUCCCCCGCCUGCGCUACCCUCAGUUCGAGCCACGAGCGCCGCCCGACGACAGCAGCGACGACGACGGCGGCAACUUAGAAGGCGACGACUACCAGUACAACGACGACAGCAGCUAUGAAGACUACGAGUAUGCAUAUUAUACGCCUAGGCAGGAGUAUGACUAAAUCACUCCAAAUUUCAUGUAUCAUCAUUGGUAUCUCGAAUCAUUCGAAAAUGGACACCAAACACAUCACGGGUAAUAUAAUUCACAUGAUCCAUUCAACAAAGUUUGGUACAAUAAAUUAUUACACAUCAUUUCUUCCCUUGUGUCCCUGCUUGCUUACGAUUGUGCCGUAUCCAUGGAGCAUCCUCAUCAUUUAACUUAAUGCUUGGGUCGGUGUUCACUUUGAAGGGCGGAAUUUCAGCAAACAUAUUAUAAUCUUCUGACAUGUCUGUCUUGUCCUCCACUCCCACGAUGUUUCUUUUCCCUGAAAGAACAAUGUGGCGCUUUGGAUCAUCGCAUGAUGUACUGAUCGUUUUCUUAUCUUUCUGUUUCCUCGGUUUGCUACUCAUGUCCUUCACAUAGAAAACCUGAGCGACAUCUUUCGCUAGGACGAAUGGUUCGUCAAGGUAAACAAGAUUGUUGAAAUCCACCAUUGUCAUUCCGUAUUGCUGGUCCACCUUUACCCCACCUCCUGUUAGCUUGAACCAUUUGCACCGGAACAAAGGGACCUUAAAGGAGGGUCCAUAGUCAAGUUCCCAUAUCUCCUCUAUGUAACCAUAAUAUGUGACCUCUUGCCCAUUCUCGGUUGCUGCAUCAAAGCGGACACCACUGUUUUGGUUGGUGCUCUUUUUAUCUUGGGCGAUCGUGUAAAAUGUAUUCCCAUUUAUCUCGUACCCUUGGAAAGUCGUUAUAGUCGAAGAUGGUGUCUUGGCCAACAUGUACAGCUGAUCUACAACAUCAUUGUCAUUCAUUAAAUGUUUUCUCAACCAACUGCCGAAAGUCUCCAUGUGGGCCUUCCUAAUCCAGGAUUCAGGCUUCCCCGGGUUGUCCGAGCGUAAAAUAUUCUUGUGUUUCUCAAAGUACGGAGCCACCAAGCUGGAAUUGGUCAGUACAGUGUGGUGUGCUUCAGUCAGAGAAUGGCCGUCCAUACAUAUCGUUGAUUUCCUUCCGAUCGUGCCUUUUCCACUUAGUCUCCCCUCGUGCCGCGAUCGAGGAAGACCAAUCGGCUUAAGGUCAGGAACAAAGUCAACAUAAAACUCAAUUACCUCCUCAUUUCCAUAGCCCUUGGCGAUGCUUCCUUCUGGCCUAGCACGGUUACGAACAUAUUUCUUUAAUACUCCCAUGAACCUCUCGAAGGGGAACAUAUUGUGUAGAAAUACAGGACCGAGAACGAAAAUCUCUUCGACUAGGUGAACCAGGAGGUGCGUCAUAAUAUUGAAGAAGGAUGGCGGGAACACCAGCUCGAAACUGACAAGACAUUGGAUCACAUCGUUCUGUAACCGUGGUAGAACUUCUGGAUUGAUUACCUUCUGAGAGAUUGCAUUGAGGAAUGCACAUAGCUUCACAAUGGCUACUCGAACAUUUUGCGGCAGGAGCCCCCUCAAAGCAAUCGGAAGCAAUUGCGUCAUAAUCACGUGGCAGUCGUGAGACUUCAGGUUUUGGAACUUUUUCUCCGCCAUGUUUAUUAUUCCCUUUAUAUUGGACGAGAAUCCAGACGGGACCUUCAUACUGCUCAGGCAUUCAAAAAAGAUGACCUUCUCUUCUUUGGUCAGAGCGUAGCUGGCACGACCUUGAAACCAUUCCGGAUGCCGGUCAUCAGGGUCUUUCAAACGUUGCUGGUCCUGCCGUGCUUCCUUUGUAUAAUUUGUCUUCCCAUACACGCCCAAGAAGCUUAGGAGGUUCACGCAAAUAUUCUUCGUAACGUGCAUCACGUCGAUUGCAGAGCGGACUUCUAGGACUUUCCAAUAUUCUAGCUCCCAGAAUAUAGAUUUCUUCUUCCACAUGGCUGCGUGCCCGUCAGCUCCCUUCGGAACUGAUUGUCCGCCAGGACCCUUUCCAAAGAUGACUUUCAAAUCCUUGACCAUAUCAAAUAACUCAGCACCAGUGCGUUCCGCAGGCUUCGGCCGGUGAUCUGCCUUGCCGUUGUAAUGCUUGCCUUUCUUUCUUACUAGAUGAAUUUUCGGAAGAAAUCGACGAUGCCCAAGGUACACGUUCUUCUUACAAUUUGGCAAAUGUACACUUUCAGUCUCAUGUAAGCAGUGCGUGCAUGCAUUGUAUCCCUUAUUUGACAGUCCCGAAAGGUUACUAAGAGCAGGCCAAUCGUUGAUGGUUACGAAAAGCAACGCUCGUAGGUCAAAUUCCUCUUCUUUGUGCUCAUCCCACACACGGACACCAGGUCUGCCCCACAGCUGUAAAAGUUCAUCAACUAAUGGCCUUAGGUACACAUCGAUGUCGUUGCCGGGUUGCUUCGGACCUUGGAUGAGCACUGGCAUCAUAAUGAACUUCCGCUUCAUGCACAACCAAGGAGGAAGGUUGUAGAUGCAUAGAGUCACGGGCCAGGUGCUAUGGCUGGAGCUCUGCUCGCCAAAAGGAUUCAUGCCAUCUGUACUUAGACCAAAUCUUAUGUUCCUUGCGUCAGCUGCAAAAUCUUUGAACUCUCUGUCGAUCUUUCUCCAUUGCGUUCCAUCUGCGGUGUGUCUCAACUCCCCGUCCGACUUACGGUCCUCUUUGUGCCAUCGCAACAACUUGGCAUGCUCUUUGUUCCUGAACAAACGUUUCAACCGUGGUAUUAUAGGAGCAUACCACAUCACCUUGGCGGGAACCCUCUUCCUGGGUUUCUCGCCCUCAACAUCGUCACCAGGGUCAUCGCCUCUGAUCUUAUAACGCAAUGCAGUGCAUACCGGGCAUUCAUUCAAAUUCUCGUAUUCACUGCGGUAGAGGAUGCAGUCGUUGAUGCAUGCAUGUAUCUUCAGAACCUCUAAACCUAGAGGGCAUACAACCUUCUUUGCUUCGUACGUACUGGCGGGCAACUCGUUAUUCUUUGGAAACAUAUUCUUCAACAUUUUCAGCAAGUUUUCAAAUGCCGAGUCAGCUACACCUGCCUGUGCCUUCCAUUUCAGCAAAUCCAGUGUGCAGCCCAGCUUUUUCAGACCAUCAUCGCAUCCGGGGUACAACGACUUUCUGUGAUCCUCUAACAUGCGAUCCAAAUUCUCCCUCUCCUUUUCAGUUUCGCAGCGUCUCCGUGCAUCAGCAAUGGUCCGACCAAGAUCAUCAACGGUCUCAUCACGUGCCUCUUCUUCACCUUCACCUUCCCCUUCACCUUCCCCUUCACCUUCAGCAUCCUCCAUGAAAGUAUCACCGAAAUGAGCAAGAUAGCUUUCAUCCAUGAAAUCAUCCCCUUCUUCAUCUUCUUCCAUUAUAACCCCUCUUUCUCCAUGCUUGGUCCAACAAUUAUAGCUUGGCAUGAAACCGUGCCGAAGCAGGUGCAGGUGAACUUGUCUUGAGGAAGAGUAACCCUUCUGAUUCUUACAGUCAACACAUGGACAAAUAACAAAACCCUUCUGCUUGUUCGCAUUAGCCACUACGAGGAAAUCUUUCAAACCCGUAGUGAAUUCGCGGGAGAGUCGGUUACCGUACAUCCAUUGCCGAUUCAUCUGCAUUAUUAUAAUAUAAAAUAUAUAAUUAACCAUCAUGCAUUUGUUAAACUAACUAGCUAUAAACAAUAGAAAUUAAACAAUGAACAACACACAUGCAUAUAUAUUUUAUCAAUGACACACAUGCAUGAAAGGUUCAAGUUGCUAACCGCGAUCGAGGAGGAAAAAAUAAAUGAGGAACCUCAAGUGUGGCUCCAACACUUCAUAUCAUGUUUGUUUCACGCUCUUGGGGCAUUUCAUCAAACACCUUGUGUGCAUAAGAGGAACCAAAAGCAAACCUACACCCCCUUGUGAAGCUUGUGAAGAGAAGUGGCACCAAAUGGCUAAGUGAGUGUGCUGAACUGGUAUCUAUAGGGGAGGAGAUUUAGUCGCGGUUGGCAUGGCAAACCGCGACUAAAGGCCUUUGGGCACCUUUAGUCGCGGUUGGCCUGGCCAACCGCGACUAAAGCCCCUCACGUGCACCAGCUGGCCACCGAGCGCCCUGGCCCAGGCCUUUGGUCGCGGUUCGUCUGCCGAACCGCGACUAAAGAAAUCAUUAGUCGCGGUUCCUACAGUGUCGCGACUUAUGGGGCUGGACGGAAGCCUCUUUUUCUACCAGUGUAGCCCACAGACCAAAUAUGAGAAGUGAUGUUUUGAAAGCUUCUUAUUGAGUCUAAUACUAUCCUUUUGAAAUUCUUGGUCCUCAGAUCUGAUACCAUAACCAGCAUCUACAUGCUCAUGCUGCAAACUAUCACAUAGGUCCUAUUUCAGGUUCAUUUACUUUCUCAAAUAAGUAACUUUGUCUAAUGUUCCCCGAACGAGUAGUUAAAACAACCACCCCCUGAUCCGAAAGGAAUGGGUGUUCCUGAGGCUUAUUCAAAGGGGUGCCAGCGCUACUACUUGAUUGAGUGCCAGCACGUAGCUGUGCUUUCAGCAAGAAUUUCACCAUUGGGAGCCGGUGCCUUUCGAAGCACUUUCACGUGUGAACCGAAGUCGUCUUGCCCAAGACCCACGGAGACCUACCUAUAGUGACGUCAAAGUACCAGUGAGCAUGGAGGUUUGGUUGAAAUUGGUUACGACGACGUCGAGUUGGCGGCGGAGGAAGACUCGGCAUGAAGGCCAGCCGCCCGGUGGUGUGGUACGUAGUGGUAAUAGUACGCGCCCCGCUCCGAAACAAAGAAAAAGGUGCGUGCCGCNNN
rnacentral:lncRNA from 1 species